AGAGUUUGAUCAUGGCUCAGGACGAACGCUGGCGGCGUGCCUAACACAUGCAAGUCGAACGGCCCAGCACUUAACAGAGCAUAUAAGGGAAGUGGCUAGUGUAAAGCACAAUAGGUGCAUAUAAGCUAAGCAUUAACUCAUAUGCUGCGUUAAGUGCUGGGUAGUGGCGGACGGGUGAGUAACGCGUGGGCAACCAACCCUGUACAGUGGAUAACACCGGGAAACGGGUGCUAAUACCGCAUGAAACUUAAUCAGUGCAUACUGUUUAGGUUAAAGGUAAAAACCGGUACGGGACGGGCCCGCGUCCCAUUAGCCAGUUGGUGAGGUAACGGCUCACCAAGGCAACGAUGGGUAGCCGACCUGAGAGGGUGACCGGCCACACUGGGACUGAGACACGGCCCAGACUCCUACGGGAGGCAGCAGUGGGGAAUAUUGCGCAAUGGACGGAAGUCUGACGCAGCGACGCCGCGUGAGCGAAGAAGGCCUUCGGGUCGUAAAGCUCUGUUCUUGGGGACGAAUAAGAUGACGGUACCCAAGGAGAAAGCCCCGGCUAACUACGUGCCAGCAGCCGCGGUAACACGUAGGGGGCGAGCGUUGUCCGGAAUUACUGGGCGUAAAGGGCGUGUAGGCGGCCGAGCAAGUCAAGUGUGAAAAGCCCCGGCUUAACCGAGGCAUUGCACAUGAAACUGUUUGGCUUGGGUGCAGGAGAGGGAAGUGGAAUUCCUAGUGUAGCGGUGAAAUGCGUAGAUAUUAGGAGGAACACCAGUGGCGAAGGCGACUUCCUGGACUGUAACUGACGCUGAGGCGCGAAAGCGUGGGUAGCAAACAGGAUUAGAUACCCUGGUAGUCCACGCCGUAAACGAUGGGUACUAGGUGUGGGUAGUUCACUCUAUCCGUGCCGCAGCAAACGCAAUAAGUACCCCGCCUGGGGAGUACGGCCGCAAGGUUGAAACUCAAAUGAAUUGACGG
rnacentral:rRNA from 1 species